rfam:Glomerella graminicola M1.001 genomic scaffold supercont1.25, whole genome shotgun sequence.
GCGGGCAUAGCUCAGUUGGGAGAGCGUCAGACUGAAGCGGAUCUCGAUCCGAGAAACUUCAUUCAAUCAAUCUGAAGGUCGUGUGUUCAAUCCACACUGACCGCA